CGCACCGCGAAGCUGUCGG
rnacentral:miRNA from 1 species